rnacentral:rRNA from 1 species
AGAGUUUGAUCAUGGCUCAGAUUGAACGCUGGCGGCAUGCCUUACACAUGCAAGUCGAACGGUAACGCGGGGGCAACCCUGGCGACGAGUGGCGAACGGGUGAGUAAUACAUCGGAACAUAUCCAGUAGCGGGGGAUAACCUAUCGAAAGAUGGACUAAUACCGCAUACGAUCUACGGAUGAAAGCAGGGGACCGCAAGGCCUUGCACUAUUGGAGUGGCCGAUGUCGGAUUAGCUAGUUGAUGGGGUAAAAGCUUACCAAGGCGACGAUCCGUAGCUGGUCUGAGAGGACGAUCAGCCACACUGGAACUGAGACACGGUCCAGACUCCUACGGGAGGCAGCAGUGGGGAAUUUUUGGACAAUGGGCGCAAGCCUGAUCCAGCCAUGCCGCGUGAGUGAAGAAGGCCCUCGGGUUGUAAAGCUCUUUCGGUGAAGACGAAACGGUUCAUGCUAAUAACGUGAACUAAUGACGGUACUCACAGAAGAAGCACCGGCUAACUACGUGCCAGCAGCCGCGGUAAUACGUAGGGUGCAGGCGUUAAUCGGAAUUACUGGGCGUAAAGCGUGCGCAGGCGGUUUGCUAAGACAGGUGUGAAAUCCCCGGGCUUAACCUGGGAAUUGCGCUUGUAACUGGCAAGCUAGAGUGUGGCAGAGGGGGGUGGAAUUCCACGUGUAGCAGUGAAAUGCGUAGAUAUGUGGAGGAACACCGAUGGCGAAGGCAGCCCCCUGGGUUAACACUGACGCUCAUGCACGAAAGCGUGGGGAGCAAACAGGAUUAGAUACCCUGGUAGUCCACGCCCUAAACUAUGUCAACUAGUUGUCGGGGAAGAAAUUCCUUGGUAACGAAGCUAACGCGUGAAGUUGACCGCCUGGGGAGUACGGCCGCAAGGUUAAAACUCAAAGGAAUUGACGGGGACCCGCACAAGCGGUGGAUUAUGUGGAUUAAUUCGAUGCAACGCGAAAAACCUUACCUACCCUUGACAUGCUAGGAAGCCCGCAGAGAUGUGGGUGUGCCCGAAAGGGAACCUAGACACAGGUGCUGCAUGGCUGUCGUCAGCUCGUGUCGUGAGAUGUUGGGUUAAGUCCCGCAACGAGCGCAACCCUUGCCAUUAGUUGCUACAUUCAGUUGGGCACUCUAAUGGGACCGCCGGUGACAAACCGGAGGAAGGUGGGGAUGACGUCAAGUCCUCAUGGCCCUUAUGGGUAGGGCUUCACACGUAAUACAAUGGUCGGUACAGAGGGCUGCCAACCCGCAAGGGGGAGCUAAUCCCAGAAAGCCGAUCGUAGUCCGGAUUGUAGUCUGCAACUCGACUGCAUGAAGCCGGAAUCGCUAGUAAUCGCGGAUCAGCAUGUCGCGGUGAAUACGUUCCCGGGUCUUGUACACACCGCCCGUCACACCAUGGGAGUGGGUUCCACCAGAAGUAGUUAGCCUAACCGCAAGGAGGGCGAUUACCACGGUGAGAUUCAUGACUGGGGUGAAGUCGUAACAAGGUA